GGGUGAAAUGCCAAUCGAACGUGGAGAUAGCUGGUUCUCCCCGAAAUAGCUUUAGGGCUAGCCUCUGGCAGCACAUAGAGACGGUAGAGCACUGAUCAGGCAAGGGAGCGUAAAGCUUACCGACCCUAGUCAAACUGCGAAUGGCUCUAUGAAGAACCAGGGAGUCAGGCUGCGAGUGAUAAGACCCGUAGCCAAAAGGGAAACAGCCCAGAACGCCGACUAAGGUCCCCAAUGCUGUACUAAGUGGAAAAGGAUGUAGAACUUCCCAAACAACCAGGAUGUUGGCUCAGAAGCAGCCACCAUUCAAAGAGUGCGUAAUAGCUCACUGGUCGAGAGGCUCUGCGCCGAAAAUAUCCGGGGCUCAAGUACAGAACCGAAGUCGCGUCAGCAGCGAAAGCUGCUGGGUAGGGGAGCGUUCCAUGGGCGUAGAAGGCUGACCGGAAGGACAGCUGGAGCGCAUGGAAGUGAGAAUGCUGGUAUGAGUAGCGAAAAGAU
rnacentral:rRNA from 1 species